GCUAGUCCUGGUGCUCUGUGCCUGUAAUCCCAGCCACUUGGGAGGCUGAGGCAGGAGGAUUGCAAGUUUGAGGGUAGCCUAGGCAAUUUAGCAAGACCCUGUCUCAA
rnacentral:sRNA from 1 species